rnacentral:rRNA from 1 species
GUGAGAAGUCCGGCUUGCUCGACUGAAGCCCGGACGUCCCAGGAUGCGAGUGCCCAGUGGGCCACUUUUGGUAAGCAGAACUGGCGCUGUGGGAUGAACCAAACGCUGGGUUAAGGCGCCCGAUGCCAGACGCUCAUCAGAUCCCAUGAAAGGUGUUGGUUGCUAUAGACAGCAGGACGGUGGCCAUGGAAGUCGGAAUCCGCUAAGGAGUGUGUAACAACUCACCUGCCGAAGCAACUAGCCCUGAAAAUGGAUGGCGCUGUAGCGUCGAGCCCAUACCCGGCUGCCCCGGCUGGGCACGGAAGCUUAAGCCGGGGUGAGUAGGAGGAGUCGCAGCGGCGUGCGUUGAAGGUGCCGGGCGUGGGCCCGCCUGGAGCCGCCGCUGGUGCAGAUCUUGGUGGUAGUAGCAAAUACUCAAGUGAGAACCUUGAGAAAUGAGGUGGAGAAGGGUUCCAUGUGAACAGCAGUUGAACAUGGGUCAGUCGGUCCUAAGGGAUAGGAGAAAUCCGUUCCGAAGCGGGACCUGCGUGCACCGUGAGGUCCCGUGGUCGACCGAAAGGGAAUCGGGUUAAUAUUCCCGAACUCGGACGCGGAGAUCGGCCCCUCGGGGUCAACUGCGGUAACGCAACCAAACUCGGAGACGUCGAUCGGGGUCCCGGGAAGAGUUGUCUUUUCUUUGUAAGGGAUCGGCUCCCUGGAAUCGGCUCGCCCGGAGAUAGGGAUGCUGUUCCCGUAAAGCACCGCGGCUCUUGCGGUGUCCGGAGCGCUCCGGUCGGCCCCUUAAAAUCCGAGGGAGAGUGUGAUUUUCGUGCCGGACCGUACCCAUAUCCGCAGCAGGUCUCAAGGGUGAACAGCCUCUAUUCGAUGGAACA